UUCGCCCUUCGGUUGAUCCUGCCGGAGGUUACUGCUAUCGGUGUUCGACUAAGCCAUGCGAGUCAAAUGUUCUUCGUGAACAUGGCGGACUGCUCAGUAACACGUGGAUAACCUGCCCUUAGGUUCGGCAUAACUCCGGGAAACUGGAGAUAAUUCCGAAUAGGUCAAAUAUGCUGGAAUGCUUUUUGGCCAAAAGACCUCGGUUGCCUAAGGAUGGAUCUGCGGUCUAUCAGGUUGUAGUGGGUGUAACGUACCUACUAGCCUACGACGGAUAUGGGUUGUGAGAGCAAGAGCCCAGAGAUGGAUUCUGAGACAUGAAUCCAGGCCCUACGGGGCGCAGCAGGCGCGAAAACUUUACAAUGCGGGAAACCGCGAUAAGGGGACACCGAGUGCCAGCAUUUAUGUUGGCUGUCCACAUGUGUAAACGGCAUGUGUUAGCAAGGGCCGGGCAAGACCGGUGCCAGCCGCCGCGGUAACACCGGCGGCCCGAGUGGUAAUCACUUUUAUUGGGUCUAAAGGGUCCGUAGCCGGUUUGAUCAGUUCUUCGGGAAAUCUGACAGCUCAACUGUUAGGCUUCCGGGGAAUACUGUCAGACUUGGGACCGGGAGAGGUAAGAGGUACUACAGGGGUAGGAGUGAAAUCUUGUAAUCCCUGUGGGACCACCAGUGGCGAAGGCGUCUUACCAGAACGGGUCCGACGGUGAGGGACGAAAGCUGGGGGCACGAACCGGAUUAGAUACCCGGGUA
rnacentral:rRNA from 1 species